UACGUAGGGUGCGAGCGUUGCCCGGAUUUAUUGGGCGCAAAGGGCGCGCAGGCGGCCACGCGCGUCCGUUGUGAAAUCGCUCGGCUCAACUGGGCGAGGUCAGCGGAUACGGCGUGGCUGGAGCAAGCUAGGGGGCAAUGGAAUUCCCGGUGUAGUGGUGGAAUGCGUAGAUAUCGGGAGGAACACCAGUGGCGAAGGCGGUUGCCUGGGGCUUUGCUGACGCUGAUGCGCGAAAGCGUGGGGAGCGAUCCGG
rnacentral:rRNA from 1 species